UUUCUUUCUACAACUUGUAUUUACUUGGUUCAAUCGGAGGAUUGAAUCAAGGGGAUUGAGGUUGGUUGGUGAGCCGAGUUAAAACCAACGUGUGUAAGGGUUUGAUUGUGAUCCCGGGAAAACAAUCGGGGCGGUUCUAGUCGGUGAGCCUGGGAAAACCGACCGAGUUCGUUGUGAGCUCGUAAAACAACAAGUUUGGUUGUGAGCUUGGAAAACAACCGGCUGUAAUCCAAGGGAGUUAU
rnacentral:lncRNA from 1 species